GGGCAAAAUUCCCCCCAGGGAAGAAGACCAGUUGUUCCCAUACCAACAAAAGAAAAAUACGGUGGCUCAGGUUUCCCGAGAACGGGCCCACCUCGGGGUUCCUGCCUCCCUCGGUGAUUAACUGGGAGCAGCCCCUGGGAAGGGUGGCUUCUACUCAACUGUAAGGAUCACUCCAAUGGUCCAUCUGUCAAUUAGGCUCCGCACAGGAGACCUGAAAGCCAUGACACACGACGGAAACCUGAACCUGCAGCCUGAAGCAGAGACUUCUCAGAUGACCUGCAGACCUAUGAGUAAGAAAAUGAAGAUUUGCUAUUGCACUGUGCUAGGCACUAAGGAUGCAGUGAAGAAGAAACCAAAAUCCCUGCCCCUGUGGAUCUGACGUGCUUGUGAGAGAAGCAGACAAGAAACGAAUGAGUAAGACAUCAGUAUUUAAGACGGUGCUGAGUGCUAGGAAGUAAAAUAAGGCAGCCAAGGGGCUGGGGAGGUGGGGACUUCACAGCCUCAAGGACAAUGUUUUGAUUUCUUAGGAGAAUAUAUCCAUGUGUCAUUUGAGUGGUUUAAAAAACCUUUAAAGACUGGGUGGGCUGGGCUGAUUCCAGCCUGGCGCCCUGCAGCUGGGGAACCCUUGACAGGCUGCACUCCCGUGCCUGGGCAGCAGUUGGCCCUGACCUUCCCUCCUUCCCCAAAUUCUUCCAUCAUCAGACAAUAAAGUCUUUGACAGGUAGCCUCAGGCCUACAGCUGACAGCUGGCAGGAGAGCCAUAUCCACCGCAUCCUGAAGGAGCUGUAAAAAUAAUAACAAUGGCCCUUGAGGCCCUGGUUGUCUUCCCUGCCACCUCUCUGACUCCAUCUCCUCCCACUUGCCCCCCGACUCACUAGGAUCCAGCCUCACUGACUUUCUUUCUGCCGCUUAAACGUUCAAGCUUGGUCGUGCCUCUGGGCCUUUGUACUUGCUGGGCCUAGAAUGCCUUCCCCAGGAUCUCCCCACCACUUGCUGGUUCUUAUCAGCCAGGUAUCCACUCCGAUGUCAUCUCCACAGAGAGCCCUUCUCCAACCCCCCCUCCCCAUCAGAGGAGGUCCUUUCUCCAAAUCUCUUACACACCCCUCUCCCGGCCAUUUCCUUCACUGGACUUGUUACUUGAUGACAUGAUUCUGUCUGAUUAUUUGCUGGAUUGUUAAGGUGCUUCCCACUAGAAUGUCAGCUCCAUAAGAAAAGGACCUUAUCUUUUGAUAACAUGUGAACAAGUGCCUGGCACAUAGUAGGUGAUCAAU